rnacentral:rRNA from 1 species
CGGCACGGGUGAGUAACACGUAUCCAACCUGCCGUCUACUCUUGGACAGCCUUCUGAAAGGAAGAUUAAUACAAGAUGGCAUCAUGAGUCCGCAUGUUCACAUGAUUAAAGGUAUUCCGGUAGACGAUGGGGAUGCGUUCCAUUAGAUAGUAGGCGGGGUAACGGCCCACCUAGUCUUCGAUGGAUAGGGGUUCUGAGAGGAGGGUCCCCCACAUUGGAACUGAGACACGGUCCAA